ACAGGGCGGAGAGGAUCGGAGUCGUUUGGAAUCGGGACAGCCUGCGGCAGCUGACAUCUGUCGAUGAAAGUGUUUACAGACGAUCUGCACGCUGCACGCGAUCUACUUUCAACUUUUCCUCGAACUGUUAGAAAUUAUCUCUGCGAUUUAUCCAGGAUGGUAACACCGAUUUGAGCAUCCCCAAGUGGCCGAAGACGGAUGAUUAUUUACUAAACUCUACGAAGCUGCGGGUGAAGUUCUCUGAUGUGAGACACGAGGUUGGUGGGCAAGUCUCUGUGGCGACUGCGACGCGCCCAACAGUCGAACCUAACUCAAGGCAUACUGCAAUCCACCAAAACAACGUGAGAGCACACACAUACUGCGAAAAAAAUUAACCUUGACGCCUGGAUCGCGAUUCGCAGCGAAUCUAGACUGUGCGCAAUGAAUUCCUCGCGUAAAAUCAGGUGAAUCAGAUGUACGAAUAAACGGAUUUCAGUAUACUUCACUAUUCGCCAAAAAUGGAUCGCAAGAGUACGAAGGAAUUUUUUUUCGUCCCUAUUUUCCAGCAGAAAACUUUUCUUCGCAGAAUCGAUUUGAACAAUCCUUUCUGGACUAAUUAGGCCGCAAGGAUUGCAAAACAAGUAUUGAGCGGGUGGUAAGACUAACAGCUGAAUAGAUAGAGAAGUAAUAUGG